UUAUUCCUUCACGAAUGUCGUUGGUAUGACGCACAACGAUGAAUUUCUCAUGGUUGCUCUGAUACCAUGUGAGAAUGCACGGGAGAAGAAUAUUAUUGAGAUAUUAUUAUUUCAAUACUGCAAUGAUCCCAAUAUAUGUGUGUGUAUAUAUAUAUAUACACACAUUACAUAUCCUAAUCCUAAUUCAUAUAGGAUUAGGGUGAUUCACUCCUAUUUACACUAUUAUUCUAACACUUUCCGGUGCACAAGAAUGCGUUAUUGACUUUUCAUCCUCUCUUUCAGAUUAUAUUUACUGUUUUUAGGAGUCAUUUGCUGUUCUGUAUCAAGAUUUAGACUAGCAUCAGAUUUCUUGGAGUCUUGACCAUUGAAAAUUAAUUAGUUGUUUGUGAAUGUUGCAAGUCAAUUUGCAGUAGAGUGGCAUAGAAAUUGUGUAGUAUUUCAAUUGCUAAAACUGACCAUUCAGAAGAAACCAG
rnacentral:lncRNA from 1 species